rnacentral:rRNA from 1 species
UCCUCAUUAAAUUAUUUGAGGUAUGGCCUGCUCAAUGCGAUAAAGUAAAUAGCCGCAGUACUCUGACUGUGCAAAGGUAGCAUAAUAAAUUGGCCUUUAAUUGAGGUCUGGAAUGAAUGGCUUGACAAGGAUUUGGCUGUCUUGAAAUGAAAUUUUUUGAAGUUGAAUUAUUUGUAAAAAUGCAAAUAUAAAAGAGAGGGACGAGAAGACCCUAUAGAUCUUUAAAGGAUGGAUUUAAGUAAGAUUUUGAAUCUUUUCUUUUUAUUUGGGGAAAAUCCUGAAAUGAUAAAUUUUGAAAGUAAACUUCGGUUAAUUGGCAAAAAUAGAAUAAUUGAGUUUAGAUCCAUUAGGAGGUGAAAAGAUGAAAAAGUUACCUUAGGGAUAACAGGACAAUGAUCUCUUAUUAGAGGUCUUAUCUUAAGAGACGUUUGUUACCUCGAUGUUGAAUUAAGUUAUCUUACUGAAGAAGAAGUUAUUAUAGUUGGUCUGUUCGACCAUUGAAAAC